rnacentral:rRNA from 1 species
CCUACGGGGGGCUGCAGUAGGGAAUCUUCCGCAAUGGACGAAAGUCUGACGGAGCAACGCCGCGUGAGUGAUGAAGGCCUUCGGGUCGUAAAGCUCUGUUGUCAGGGAAGAACAAGUGCGGGAGUAACUGCCCGCACCUUGACGGUACCUGACCAGAAAGCCACGGCUAACUACGUGCCAGCAGCCGCGGUAAUACGUAGGUGGCAAGCGUUGUCCGGAAUUAUUGGGCGUAAAGCGCGCGCAGGCGGUCCCUUAAGUCUGAUGUGAAAGCCCCCGGCUUAACCGGGGAGGGUCAUUGGAAAUUGUCUAGCUUGAGUCAAGGAGAGGAAAGUGGAAUUCCUGGUGUAGCGGUGAAAUGCGUAGAUAUCAGGAGGAAUACCAGUGGCGAAGGCGACUUUCUGGACUUAGACUGACGCUGAGGUACGAAAGCGUGGGGAGCAAACAGGAUUAGAUACCCUGGUAGUC